rnacentral:rRNA from 1 species
AGCAGCCGCGGUAAUUCCAGCUCCAAUAGCGUAUAUUAAAGUUGUUGCAGUUAAAAAGCUCGUAGUUGAAUUUCGGGAUUAGUGCGCUGGUCAUGCCUUUGGUAUGUACUGGUGUUACUGAUUUCUACCUUCUGAAGAACCGUUAUGUCAUUUAUUUGGUGUGGCGGGGAAUCAGGACUGUUACUUUGAAAAAAUUAGAGUGUUUAAAGCAGGCUCGCGCUUGAAUACAUUAGCAUGGAAUAAUGAAAUAGGACGUUUGACCCUAUUUUGUUGGUUUCUAGGAUCGACGUAAUGAUUAAUAGGGAUAGUUGGGGGCAUUAGUAUUCAAUUGUCAGAGGUGAAAUUCUUGGAUUUAUUGAAGACUAACUACUGCGAAAGCAUUUGCCAAGGAUGUUUUCAUUAAUCAAGAACGAAAGUUAGGGGAUCGAAGACGAUCAGAUACCGUCGUAGUCUUAACCAUAAACUAUGCCGACUAGGGAUCGGAUGAUGUUAAUUUUAAUGUACUCAUUCGGCGCCUUAC